rnacentral:rRNA from 1 species
GGCGGACGGGUUAGUAACGCGUGGGAACGUACCCAGAUCUAAGGAAUAGCCGCUGGCGGUGAGUAAUACCUUAUACGCCCUUCGGGGGAAAGAUUUAUCGGAUUUGGAUCGGCCCGCGUUAGAUUAGGUAGUUGGUGGGGUAAUGGCCUACCAAGCCUACGAUCUAUAGCUGGUUUUAGAGGAUGAUCAGCAACACUGGGACUGAGACACGGCCCACGCUCCUACGGGAGGCAGCAGUGGGGAAUCUUAGACAAUGGGCGCAAGCCUGAUCUAGCCAUGCCGCGUGAGUGAUGAAGGCCUUAGGGUCGUAAAGCUCUUUCGCCUGUGAUGAUAAUGACAGUAGCAGGUAAAGAAACCCCGGCUAACUCCGUGCCAGCAGCCGCGGUAAUACGGAGGGGGUUAGCGUUGUUCGGAAUUACUGGGCGUAAAGCGCAC